rnacentral:rRNA from 1 species
CCUACGGGAGGCAGCAGUGAGGAAUAUUGGUCAAUGGACGAGAGUCUGAACCAGCCAAGUAGCGUGAAGGAUGACUGCCCUAUGGGUUGUAAACUUCUUUUAUAUGGGAAUAAAAUGUUCCACGUGUGGGAUUUUGUAUGUACCAUAUGAAUAAGGAUCGGCUAACUCCGUGCCAGCAGCCGCGGUAAUACGGAGGAUCCGAGCGUUAUCCGGAUUUAUUGGGUUUAAAGGGAGCGUAGGUGGAUUGUUAAGUCAGUUGUGAAAGUUUGCGGCUCAACCGUAAAAUUGCAGUUGAUACUGGCAGUCUUGAGUACAGUAGAGGUGGGCGGAAUUCGUGGUGUAGCGGUGAAAUGCUGAGAUAUCACGAAGAACUCCGAUGGCGAAGGCAGUUCACUGGACUGCAACUGACACUGAGGCUCGAAAGUGUGGGUAUCAAACAGGAUUAGAUACCCUUGUAGUC